GAUAAACGCUGGCGGCGUGCCUAAUACAUGCAAGUCGAGCGAACGGACGAGAAGCUUGCUUCUCUGAUGUUAGCGGCGGACGGGUGAGUAACACGUGGAUAACCUACCUAUAAGACUGGGAUAACUUCGGGAAACCGGAGCUAAUACCGGAUAAUAUUUUGAACCGCAUGGUUCAAAAGUGAAAGACGGUCUUGCUGUCACUUAUAGAUGGAUCCGCGCUGCAUUAGCUAGUUGGUAAGGUAACGGCUUACCAAGGCAACGAUGCAUAGCCGACCUGAGAGGGUGGUCGGCCACACUGGAACUGAGACACGGUCCAGACUCCUACGGGAGGCAGCAGUAGGGAAUCUUCCGCAAUGGGCGAAAGCCUGACGGAGCAACGCCGCGUGAGUGAUGAAGGUCUUCGGAUCGUAAAACUCUGUUAUUAGGGAAGAACAUAUGUGUAAGUAACUGUGCACAUCUUGACGGUACCUAAUCAGAAAGCCACGGCUAACUACGUGCCAGCAGCCGCGGUAAUACGUAGGUGGCAAGCGUUAUCCGGAAUUAUUGGGCGUAAAGCGCGCGUAGGCGGUUUUUUAAGUCUGAUGUGAAAGCCCACGGCUCAACCGUGGAGGGUCAUUGGAAACUGGAAAACUUGAGUGCAGAAGAGGGAAGUGGAAUUCCAUGUGUAGCGGUGAAAUGCGCAGAGAUAUGGAGGAACACCAGUGGCGAAGGCGACUUUCUGGUCUGUAACUGACGCUGAUGUGCGAAAGCGUGGGGAUCAAACAGGAUUAGAUACCCUGGUAGUCCACGCCGUAAACGAUGAGUGCUAAGUGUUAGGGGGUUUCCGCCCCUUAGUGCUGCAGCUAACGCAUUAAGCACUCCGCCUGGGGAGUACGACCGCAAGGUUGAAACUCAAAGGAAUUGACGGGGACCCGCACAAGCGGUGGAGCAUGUGGUUUAAUUCGAAGCAACGCGAAGAACCUUACCAAAUCUUGACAUCCUUUGACAACUCUAGAGAUAGAGCCUUCCCCUUCGGGGGACAAAGUGACAGGUGGUGCAUGGUUGUCGUCAGCUCGUGUCGUGAGAUGUUGGGUUAAGUCCCGCAACGAGCGCAACCCUUAAGCUUAGUUGCCAUCAUUAAGUUGGGCACUCUAAGUUGACUGCCGGUGACAAACCGGAGGAAGGUGGGGAUGACGUCAAAUCAUCAUGCCCCUUAUGAUUUGGGCUACACACGUGCUACAAUGGACAAUACAAAGGGCAGCGAAACCGCGAGGUCAAGCAAAUCCCAUAAAGUUGUUCUCAGUUCGGAUUGUAGUCUGCAACUCGACUACAUGAAGCUGGAAUCGCUAGUAAUCGUAGAUCAGCAUGCUACGGUGAAUACGUUCCCGGGUCU
rnacentral:rRNA from 1 species